ACAAAAAAAAAGUACACCCUAUUUUCUUUCAAUAAGGGAGCAAAAGAUGAAACAUUUCAUUCAGACACAUCUCGAAGAUUUAGUUCACAGUUAGAAGCACCCCGACCUGUUCUGUUCCAACGCCUGGUUAAUCAUCACAUCUGGAAACUUGCCACGUCUUCAGCUGAUGGGUUGAUCACAGACUGAUCUCAUUCAGUCAGACAGUCCUGCCUCAGCGCCAGAGACAGGUGCAGACCGUACCUGGACUUCUUUGAGCAGCUUUGACACUUGGUGGAAGUUGAGCCGAGUGUCGAUGGGACAGUAAACGCACUUCAUAGCCAGCGGCUGGUACGGAGCCAGAGCAUCCAGGUAAGAAAAGUCCGGCUCUGUGAAGAUGAUGGUGUUGAGGCCUGAUUUGCCCCACAGCUCCAUGAAGUGAACCACGUCCCCGAAGCGCAGAGAUGGAUGACCGGUGAACACCACGCACGGCUGACGGAACUCACUGCUGAAGUCUCCGUGGAUGCUCGGG